rnacentral:rRNA from 1 species
AGCGAACGCUGGCGGCAGGCCUAACACAUGCAAGUCGAACGAACCCUUCGGGGUUAGUGGCGGACGGGUGAGUAACACGUGGGAACGUGCCCUUUGGUUCGGAACAACUCAGGGAAACUUGAGCUAAUACCGAAUGUGCCCUUCGGGGGAAAGAUUUAUCGCCAUUGGCGCGGCCCGCGUCUGAUUAGCUUGUUGGUGAGGUAAAGGCUUACCAAGGCUACGAUCAGUAGCUGGUCUGAGAGGAUGAUCAGCCACAUUGGGACUGAGACACGGCCCAAACUCCUACGGGAGGCAGCAGUGGGGAAUCUUGCGCAAUGGGCGAAAGCCUGACGCAGCCAUGCCGCGUGAAUGAUGAAGGUCUUAGGAUUGUAAAAUUCUUUCACCGGGGACGAUAAUGACGGUACCCGGAGAAGAAGCCCCGGCUAACUUCGUGCCAGCAGCCGCGGUAACAC